UACGGAGGGUGCGAGCGUUGUCCGGAAUCACUGGGCGUAAAGGGCGCGUGGGCGGCAUGCCAAGCGUGUGGUGAAAAGCCCGGGGGCUCAACCCCCGGGUCGGCCGUGCGGACUGGCGUGCUCGAGCACUGUAGGGGCGGGUGGAAUUCCGGGUGUAGCGGUGGAAUGCGUAGAGAGCCGGAAGAACACCGGUGGCGAAGGCGGCCCGCUGGGCAGGAAGACACC
rnacentral:rRNA from 1 species